rnacentral:misc_RNA from 1 species
AGUCAUCAACCCUCCUUGCUUUUUGCAGGGCAGGGCUUGGAGUUUGAGGGUGUUGCUGCCGAAGGGCGGCUCCCUCCAAAUGCUUCGGUUGGGCCUGCGGGUCGAACUCGACUGGGCGUUGUACCAUCCUCGCUCGACCGAGAUGUUCCCCUUUGUGCCUCGACCUCGACCGCCUGUGGAGCGGCGGUCAACAAACCAUUUGAA